GGCGGGCUCUGUUACUCUCCCUUGGUCGGCAGCCCACCUGUUAAUCUCCUCCCAAGUAGUGACCUCGUCCAGAUCUCGCUCCCAAGUCCAUAAGUCCUGAUUACGCUGCUCCUGCUGCCGCUGCCUGUCACCACGCUGCUUGGACCUGUUGUGGUGGGUGAUUCUGUCACGAUCGUCGUAAGAAGCGGACCAAAAUGCAACGUGUCUGUUUCUUGUGAGGUUUUCUGUCCUCAGAUACAGAGAGCUGUGAAAGCCUGUCUCCAGAUGAAGAGGUCCCAAUGAAGAGCAGUGGUUCUCAGUCCUGGUCCAGGAGACUCAAAGAGUUAACGUGUAGGCCACUGCAAGGUUGGGUGACCAGGGUCAUCUGGGACUGCCUCCUGGAGGAAUUCAGGUGUGUGAAGACUACCAGUGUCCUGCAUAACUUCAUGAGGAUGGACACGAGGACCAGGAGGGGGGAUCUGCAGCUAUGUGCCAGAGGAGAAGUCUGCUGCUCUGCAGGAUGUUUCAAUCAAUCAAAUUUCAAUCAAAUUUAUUUAUGCAGCCCUUCUUACAUCACCUGAUGUCACAAAGUGCUGUACAGAAACCCAGCCUAAAACCCCAAGCAAUGCAGGUGUAGAAGCACGGUGGCUAGGAAAAACUCCCUAGAAAGGCCAAAACCUAGGAAGAAACCUAGAGAGGAACCAGGCUAUGAGGGGUGGCCUGUCCUCUUCUGGCUGUGCCGGGUGGAGAUUAUAACAGAACAUGGCCAAGAUGUUCAAAUGUUCAUAAAUGACCAGCAUGGUCAAAUAAUA
ensembl:lncRNA